rnacentral:rRNA from 1 species
UACGGAGGGUGCAAGCGUUAAUCGGAAUUACUGGGCGUAAAGCGCACGCAGGCGGUCUGUCAAGUCGGAUGUGAAAUCCCCGGGCUUAACCUGGGAACUGCAUUCGAAACUGGCAGGCUGGAGUCUUGUAGAGGGGGGUAGAAUUCCAGGUGUAGCGGUGAAAUGCGUAGAGAUCUGGAGGAAUACCGGUGGCGAAGGCGGCCCCCCGGACAAAGACUGACGCUCAGGUGCGAAAGCGUGGGGAGCAAACAGG